AUUGAACGCUGGUGGUAUGCUUAACACAUGCAAGUCGAACGGCAGCAUUACUCUGCUUGCAGAGUAGAUGGCGAGUGGCGGACGGGUGAGUAACGCGUAGGAAUCUGUCUUAGAGUUGGGGAUAACACGGGGAAACUCGUGCUAAUACCGCAUAACAUUUACGAAUCAAAGCUGGGGAUCUUCGGACCUGGCGCUUUAAGAUGAGCCUGCGUUGGAUUAGCUAGUUGGUGGGGUAAGAGCUCACCAAGGCGACGAUCCAUAGCUGUUCUGAGAGGAAGAUCAGCCACACUGGGACUGAGACACGGCCCAG
rnacentral:rRNA from 1 species